UAUUCAUCUUCUGUUUGGGCAGAAAUAAAAAAUAACAUGUGGGGAAAAAAGUGUCCUGGAAACAUCCAGUAUUGCUAUAAUAAUGGUAAGCAAUUUCACAUGCAGGGACUCAGGAUGCAAUGCCCAAUCUCCUCCUCCUAUCUGGAUCUGGCUCCCAUUUUAUUAGUCACAGAAGGCAAAAGCAUCUUGCUUUCAACAGAGAACCCAUUUGGCCUUGGCUUAUCCAAUGAAGAAAUCCAUUUAGUACAAUUUUUUAAAUUACGUUUCACAUAUGACUCAAACUUCCAAAUUACAACCUCACUUCAUCAGUGAUUUUCACUAAUUGCCAGUGGGAGGUCUCAGAUACAGCUUCACUGUUCGGGGGAACAAGAAAUAGUCUGUAAGACAGAUGGCAGCUUCAUCUCUUCCUCGGGGGCAGGUCCGCAGGCUGUCAGCCUCUUUGAUGACAAGGCCGAGGCACUUAUACCUCCUGGAGCCCAUCUGACUUCCCUGAAGCACUGAGAGGAGAGUGGCUUAACUGCCCCCCUCUAGAAGGUGGAACCAGCAGAGAGCCAGGGCCCACACACAACUGACCCCCCGUCCUUGAGGACUGAGGACCCCGGGGAGUGAGAAGGUUGGCCCGUGGCACCCAACCCACCUCGGCAGGCAACUUUUCCAGGAGGAAGACCGGAUUCCUAAGGCUCAGACAGUGAUCUCUUUUGUAACAGCUGCAGAGAGAUCCAGUGGAGGCUCACGGAUGGGGGAACAGUUUUCCUCCAUGGUUUUGGGUUCCCCAAUUUCUAAUUUCAGGGAUCACUGGUAAGAGAGGUCUCAAAGAGAGCAAUCAGAAAUUUAUCCUAGUAGAUUAACUGUCACCCAAACAACUCUUCUCCACGUUCACCAAGAACAGAGCCAGAUGAAAAAUGCCCAAAGUAAAACCAGAGAGAGUGAGCCGAUAUCGAGAGAAUGGUACCCUGGAGAGAGGGGGGUUCUCAACCUCACGUGAAACUUUCAGGUAUAAUUAAAUCAACACAUUCUCCCAAAGAAUUGACAUGACAGCUGCAGACAGAUGAAAGAAUAGGAGGGACCAGAUAAUUCAGGCUUCCUAUUACAGUCAUUUAGAGAUGGAUUUAGCGCUAGACAAGGGCUGACUUAGUUUAAAAGUUUAAUUUUACAUUAGCUGUAAUGCGGACACUCUUUUAGCAGCCCACAUGGAUUGUUUUAACUGCAAAUCAUUGAUUGGGAGUUGCCAAAAGUACCUGAAGUCUUAGUUUGUCCAUGUCUCCAUUUAACUGCUAUAAAAUUGAUUAAUGCAUAUUUAAGGUUCUCAGUUUGUAAAACAGAGGUGCUGUUUAAUGAAUUAUUUUUUAACCCAAUGUCAAUACAAAAGGUGUUUUUCUUUUUCUUUUUUCUAAAUUUUGGUUUGGGCUGCAAAUAGCUAUCAGCAGACAAUCUUAUAUGGUCCAGGUUUUAGAGAGGUGACUGCCCAGAAUCCCACUCGAGGCAGAGGCCAUAUCUAACGUACAGUGAAGAGCAUCCCCACAGAGCAGGGUUGAAAGGAAAGGCCCCGAGGGUCCAGCAGCAUCAAAAUAAGGGAUAAGAAGUUGAGAAAUGUGGGGAACCUCUGUGUAGCUUUGUUGUGCCCCUUACAAACUGUGGGUAGAGAUGCCAAGUACGCACAUUGAGAAGGGGAUGAAUUCCAUCAAAACAAAUUCUUGAGACACCAAGGCCAACUGGGAGCUUCCGGAGCAGAAGAUCCCAGUGAUGAGGUCUUGGAACACCACCAGCCUCAACGCCCAGGAGCCCACGAUCACGUGGAGGUCCUCCCUCCCACCUACGUGCCAUCCCAGGAUCACCACAUUUCUUGCAGGGAGCCCUCUGCUGCAACUUCUCAGAAGCAUGAGCGUGUGCCAAAAUCACCUUUAAAAUUAAAUAAUUACUGAGUAUUUGUUAAAAGCUGGUCGUUUUAUAAGUUUUCUACAACCAAUAAUCAAAUGAAAUAGGUGUCAAUUCCCCAUAGAAAAAUGUCUGUUCUUGUUAGAAAUGGGAUGGAAGUAGUGAGGUAGCAGAGGGGUUCUUUUACUGGAAGUAAAAUAAUGGUAAAAACGACAUGGUCGUGUUCUAUCACAAUUAGAUCUAAUUACAUUUUAUUGCCAUAAUCAAGGGGCACAUGCUUUGGAGAGACUGAGUUUUUACCAUCGCCCCAGAGUAGCAGGCCUUCGCCCCCAUUACCUUCAAGUCACUUACAGCUAAAACCAUCCCGGAAUAUCCGGUGCAGACUUACACGUUAACUAGUUCCUUGGAGAGAGGGGCUGCGAGCAGUCUGAGAAAGCAAAUGCCAUCUGGCGCAGUGUGACUUCUCGUUAGCAGUUUAUCCGAACGCCAUCGGCUUGUUUCCCACACGUGCCUCAAUCACCUUCUUCAGAAUAAAUCGCCUCUCCCGUCAAACCUGCUUUUCCGUGUCUUCUACACAGUAGGGUUACAGGUGCUUAUUACUUCGUGCAGCAGGUCCUCCUGAGGUCUUCCCUCAUUUCUCAGCUUUCAUAUUUGAUGCAACAUCUAUAAAGCCCGUGACAUAAAUCCUCAGUCGGUGCAGGGAGGGAGGGGGGAGGAAACAGACUCCUGCAACUGCCACCCGGUGACCCAGGCAGGACCCAGCUCCCAGCCUGGAAGAGUCCACCGUGGAAAGCUGUUCUGUCAGCACAGAAAAAUUUUAGAAAGGUGGCAUGGGGAGUCGUUCCUAGAACACAGUCAUAAGGCUAUCACGGCACCUGGAGAGAGGUGAGUCACUGCACGUGGGUCGUCCUGAGAGGCAAAGGUUUGCGUCCAUCCCCCUGCACCCCGCCGACAGCAUCAGCUAACACGUCUUCUCUGGGUUCUCACCUGGGACGGGCAGCCCUUCUUCUGAGGAUCAAGCAGAAAGCCCGUGAGUGUCAGCUCCCUCUUCAUUGAGAAGCCCCCUCCCCUCCCCACAUCCACUGGUCCCCAGAUCCUGUCCAUUGAGCCUCCUAAAUUCCUGUUAAGUGGACCAUUUUCCUCUCACCCUCUAAUUAAAGCCACCAUCAUACUGGACUCGGGCUACUGAAGAGGCUCCCAAACUGGUCUCCCUGCCUCCGGCCUUGUCUUCCUUCCCCCCAUUCACGCUGCAGAACAGAUGGUUUGCAGAAUCCCACAGAUGCAAGCCCCUGACACCGGACAGACCCUGGCCGGACAGAACGCUUCCAGCUGCUCCAAGCUGUCUCGCACCCCAGCCCUUCAGCACACAGCUCCCACUGCCUGUCCCACCGCCCCACCUAGGCCCAUUCCUUCCCUCAGAUGUCCACAUAAUGGCCCUCCUGUUUAAGGCCUUCCCUGAACCCCCCUUGCCACCUCCCUCUCUUCCCACAUGGAGCCUUCAGUAACCCUCCUCCCACUUCAGUGCAGUUCCUUUGCGACUUCCCAUCUUCUUUAGCACAACGGAAGAGCACACCUCUGAA